AAUCUGAUCUAAAAGCUCUAAGUUGAAGCCAUUGCUUCAUACCUGAGCUACUUGGAUCAAGAUUAGCUUGCGGGGACCCUUUUUUAUGGAGCUGUUGCUUAGGAAGAUGAUCGUGACACUAGGGCGGACCUGUGCCAUAGAGACUUAAAAUAAAGAUAGAACUAGUUUAAUUAUAUUCUAAACUCUUUAUUUCCUGUUUUGAGACAAUGUAACACGCUUGUUUGAUAAAUA
rnacentral:lncRNA from 1 species